rnacentral:SRP_RNA from 1 species
AACUGGACUAGGUCGGGCAGCUAGGCCCUGCUCACAACCCGCCUUAUGGCCUUUAGCGGGGACCGAAGCCCGCGGGCGUCCGGUCAGACCGGCCGGGGCCCCGGGAGCGAACGUGGAAGCCUCGUCCGUCGGGGACAGCGGUCCACGGUGGCCGUCCGCAGGGACACCCCAUCGUGGUUAACCGGCGACAGCCCAUCAGGCGCGGAAGCGAGCAGUGGACCGUCGGACACCUGUCGCUCGACGGGUCGCGGGGUGGAGAACGCGACCGGGAUUCCCCCGACCGGAACGCCGGGCAAUCGCGGGGUCCACCA